UACGUAGGGUGCGAGCGUUGUCCGGAAUUAUUGGGCGUAAAGAGCUUGUAGGCGGUCUGUCGCGUCUGCUGUGAAAAUCCGGGGCUCAACCCCGGACUUGCAGUGGGUACGGGCAGACUAGAGUGUGGUAGGGGAGAGUGGAAUUCCUGGUGUAGCGGUGAAAUGCGCAGAUAUCAGGAAGAACACCGAUGGCGAAGGCAGCUCUCUGGGACGGUACUGACGCUGAGACGCGAAAGCGUGGGGAGCGAACAGG
rnacentral:rRNA from 1 species